UCUCGGUUCGUCUAGUGGUUAGGAUGCAGGCUUGUCACUUGUCAUCGCCGUUCCCCUGCAAUAGCUCAGCUUGAGCAGGACCAGCACGCCUGAGACCGGGGUUCAAUUCCCCGACCGAGAG